rnacentral:rRNA from 1 species
UACGUAGGUGGCAAGCGUUGUCCGGAAUUACUGGGCGUAAAGCGCGUGUAGGCGGCCUAGUGUGUCGGGCGUGAAAUCCCACGGCUCAACCGUGGAAGUGCACUCGAAACUGCAAGGCUGGAGUACUGGAGAGGAUGGUAGAAUGCUCGGUGUAGAGGUGAAAUUCGUAGAUAUCGAGCGGAAUACCGGUGGCGAAGGCGGCCAUCUGGACAGUCACUGACGCUGAGACGCGAAAGCGUGGGUAGCAAACAGG